rnacentral:lncRNA from 1 species
GUUUAGUUCACUUAGAUGUUAAACAUUGGUUCAUGAUACUUUUUCUUUUCUUGUGAGAAAUUUGUUUGUGAUACUUAAUCCUCUUUAUGGUGAAAUGAACCAUCACUCAAUCCCCAACAAAAAUCCCUUCCAGUUUUGAUUCCAUUAGGUGGAUGAGGCACAUUGAAAUCAUUUGCCACUUUAUUCACGACACCUUCUUUGAAGUAUUGUUUCUCAACUGCAUAUUUCUAUUUCUUUGAAAUCUGAGACCAUUAUGUAAUUGCCUAUGAUAAUAUUAAGUUGUUGGUUGCAGGAUUCUUUCUUGAUUUAUUUCUUUUGGAUUGACUUUAAAAGUGGCAAGUUUGGUUUACUUCUCGAAGUUAUGAUUGUCUAUUGAAUAGAGCUUUUCCCUUAUGCAUC